rnacentral:rRNA from 1 species
GAUCCUGCCAGUAGCAUAUGCUUGUUUCAAAGGCUAAGCCAUGCAUGUCUAAGUACAGCCGUGUUUACACGGCGAUACCGCGGACGGCUCAUUAAAUCAGUCGUGGUCCAAAUGGGUCCGUCCGCACGGUAUACUUGGAUAACCGUGGUAAUUCCAGAGCUAAUACAUGCAACUCAUAUCCCGAGGUGCGCAAGCACCAACGGAAGCACUUAUUAGACCAAUGCCCGCGGUCAGCGCCUUGUGCGCGCGCUGCCGCCUGCAUAAAUGGUGACUCUGGAUAAUUACCUGGACGAGCGCACGUAUCUGUUCAUUCAGGACGGCGCCUCCUCUUUCGAGUGUCUGCCUUAUCAGCCAUCAAUCGCUCGUUAUGUGCGAACGAUGGCCUUGACGGGUAACGGGGAAUCAGGGUUCGAUUCCGGAGAGGCAGCCUGAGAAACGGCUACCACGUCUAAGGACGGCAGCAGGCACGCAAAUUACCCAAUCCCAGAACUCUGGGGAGGUAGUGACGAAAAAUAACGAUGCGGGCGCUCCUUCUGGGGCCCCGCAAUCGGAAUGAGUAUGUCUUAAACAACCUGACGAGAACCCACUGAAGGGCAAGUCUGGUGCCAGCAGCCGCG